rnacentral:rRNA from 1 species
GACGAACGCUGGCGGCGUGCCUAAUACAUGCAAGUCGAGCGGAGUUGUUCCUUCGGGGACAGCUUAGCGGCGGACGGGUGAGUAACACGUAGGCAACCUGCCUGUAAGACCGGGAUAACAUUCGGAAACGAAUGCUAAUACCGGAUAUGCAACUUGGCUGCAUUGCCGAGUUGGGAAAGACGGUGCAAGCUGUCACUUACAGAUGGGCCUGCGGUGCAUUAGCUAGUUGGUGAGGUAACGGCUCACCAAGGCGACGAUGCAUAGCCGACCUGAGAGGGUGAUCGGCCACACUGGGACUGAGACACUGCCCAGACUCCUACGGGAGGCAGCAGUAGGGAAUCUUCCGCAAUGGACGAAAGUCUGACGGAGCAACGCCGCGUGAGUGAUUAAGGUUUUCGGAUCGUAAAGCUCUGUUGCCAGGGAAGAACAGCCAGGAGAGUAACUGCUCCUGGAAUGACGGUACCUGAGAAGAAAGCCCCGGCUAACUACGUGCCAGCAGCCGCCGUAACAC